GACGAACGCUGGCGGCGUGCUUAACACAUGCAAGUCGAACGGAAAGGCCCUGCUUUUGUGGGGUGCUCGAGUGGCGAACGGGCGAGUAACACGUGAGUAACCUGCCCUUGACUUUGGGAUAACUUCAGGAAACUGGGGCUAAUACCGGAUAGGAGCUCCUGCUGCAUGGUGGGGGUUGGAAAGUUUCGGCGGUUGGGGAUGGACUCGCGGCUUAUCAGCUUGUUGGUGGGGUAGUGGCUUACCAAGGCUUUGACGGGUAGCCGGCCUGAGAGGGCGACCGGCCACAUUGGGACUGAGAUACGGCCCAGACCCCUACGGGAGGCAGCAGUGGGGAAUAUUGCACAAUGGGCGGAAGCCUGAUGCAGCAACGCCGCGUGCGGGAUGACGGCCUUCGGGUUGUAAACCGCUUUCGCCUGUGACGAAGCGUGAGUGACGGUAAUGGGUAAAGAAGCACCGGCUAACUACGUGCCAGCAGCCGCGGUGAUACGUAGGGUGCGAGCGUUGUCCGGAUUUAUUGGGCGUAAAGGGCUCGUAGGUGGUUGAUCGCGUCGGAAGUGUAAUCUUGGGGCUUAACCCUGAGCGUGCUUUCGAUACGGGUUGACUUGAGGAAGGUAGGGGAGAAUGGAAUUCCUGGUGGAGCGGUGGAAUGCGCAGAUAUCAGGAGGAACACCAGUGGCGAAGGCGGUUCUCUGGGCCUUUCCUGACGCUGAGGAGCGAAAGCGUGGGGAGCGAACAGGCUUAGAUACCCUGGUAGUCCACGCUGUAAACGGUGGGUACUAGGUGUGGGGUCCAUUCCACGGGUUCCGUGCCGUAGCUAACGCUUUAAGUACCCCGCCUGGGGAGUACGGCCGCAAGGCUAAAACUCAAAGGAAUUGACGGGGCCCCGCACAAGCGGCGGAGCAUGCGGAUUAAUUCGAUGCAACGCGUAGAACCUUACCUGGGUUUGACAUGGAUCGGGAGUGCUCAGAGAUGGGUGUGCCUCUUUUGGGGUCGGUUCACAGGUGGUGCAUGGCUGUCGUCAGCUCGUGUCGUGAGAUGUUGGGUUAAGUCCCGCAACGAGCGCAACCCUUGUUCACUGUUGCCAGCACGUUAUGGUGGGGACUCAGUGGAGACCGCCGGGGUCAACUCGGAGGAAGGUGGGGAUGACGUCAAGUCAUCAUGCCCCUUAUGUCCAGGGCUUCACGCAUGCUACAAUGGCUGGUACAGAGAGUGGCGAGCCUGUGAGGGUGAGCGAAUCUCGGAAAGCCGGUCUCAGUUCGGAUUGGGGUCUGCAACUCGACCUCAUGAAGUCGGAGUCGCUAGUAAUCGCAGAUCAGCAACGCUGCGGUGAAUACGUUCCCGGG
rnacentral:rRNA from 1 species